CCUACGGGGGGCUGCAGUGAGGAAUAUUGGUCAAUGGACGAGAGUCUGAACCAGCCAAGUAGCGUGAAGGAUGACUGCCCUAUGGGUUGUAAACUUCUUUUAUAUGGGAAUAAAACGUUCCACGUGUGGGAUUUUGUAUGUACCAUAUGAAUAAGGAUCGGCUAACUCCGUGCCAGCAGCCGCGGUAAUACGGAGGGUCCGAGCGUUAUCCGGAUUUAUUGGGUUUAAAGGGAGCGUAGGUGGAUUGUUAAGUCAGUUGUGAAAGUUUGCGGCUCAACCGUAAAAUUGCAGUUGAAACUGGCAGUCUUGAGUACAGUAGAGGUGGGCGGAAUUCGUGGUGUAGCGGUGAAAUGCUUAGAUAUCACGAAGAACUCCGAUUGCGAAGGCAGUUCACUGGACUGCAACUGACACUGAGGCUCGAAAGUGUGGGUAUCAAACAGGAUUAGAUACCCUGGUAGUC
rnacentral:rRNA from 1 species